GACGAACGCUGGCGGCGUGCUUAACACAUGCAAGUCGAACGGAAAGGCCCUGCUUUUGUGGGGUGCUCGAGUGGCGAACGGGUGAGUAACGCGUGAGUAACCUGCCCUUGACUUUGGGAUAACUUCAGGAAACUGGGGCUAAUACCGGAUAGGAGCUCCUGCUGCAUGGUGGGGGUUGGAAAGUUUCGGCGGUUGGGGAUGGACUCGCGGCUUAUCAGCUUGUUGGUGGGGUAGUGGCUUACCAAGGCUUUGACGGGUAGCCGGCCUGAGAGGGUGACCGGCCACAUGGGGACUGAGAUACGGCCCAGACUCCUACGGGAGGCAGCAGUGGGGAAUAUUGCACAAUGGGCGGAAGCCUGAUGCAGCAACGCCGCGUGCGGGAUGACGGCCUUCGGGUUGUAAACCGCUUUCGCCUGUGACGAAGCGUGAGUGACGGUAAUGGGUAAAGAAGCACCGGCUAACUACGUG
rnacentral:rRNA from 1 species